rnacentral:rRNA from 1 species
GACGAACGCUGGCGGCGUGCUUAACACAUGCAAGUCGAACGGAAAGGCCCUGCUUUUGUGGGGUGCUCGAGUGGCGAACGGGUGAGUAACACGUGAGUAACCUGCCCUUGACUUUGGGAUAACUUCAGGAAACUGGGGCUAAUACCGGAUAGGAGCUCCUGCUGCAUGGUGGGGGUUGGAAAGUUUCGGCGGUUGGGGAUGGACUCGCGGCUUAUCAGCUUGUUGGUGGGGUAGUGGCUUACCAAGGCUUUGACGGGUAGCCGGCCUGAGAGGGUGACCGGCCACAUUGGGACUGAGAGACGGCCCAGACUCCUACGGGAGGCAGCAGUGGGGAAUAUUGCACAAUGGGCGGAAGCCUGAUGCAGCAACGCCGCGUGCGGGAUGACGGCCUUCGGGUUGUAAACCGCUUUCGCCUGUGACGAAGCGUGAGUGACGGUAAUGGGUAAAGAAGCACGGGCUAACUACGUG